UCGGCACAGACAGUGGGCAGUGCGGCAGUAGGCAUGCUGGUCACCAGUGCUCAGCCCUGCAAGAAAUAACCAUGGCAACGUGUCGUGGGUCGGGUUCCCACAGAAACAUUAGCUGCAGCAGAUGAUCCGUUGAUUGGAGUCCCUGCAUCGUAGAGGCGCCUGCUGCUGCCCCCUUGCCCUGUGCUGUACUAAAGCACAGUCAUGUUGUUGG